rnacentral:lncRNA from 1 species
CACCGACUCGAAACCAUUCAUCGCCGGAAUCUGCACGCGCACCACCGGCCACCGCCGCUGCCAUCUCCGGUCACCACUCGAGCCGCCGUCUCGUCGCCGUCGAACCACCAAACGUCCGGGUAAUCUUCUUGUGCACAUCUCUUGGGAUUCUAUCAUUUUAUUUAUUCUAUCUUAUUCCAAGAAACGCAACGCACUCUAAGGCUAUGUUAAUUGCGUAACUAUGGUUUGGACAUGUGGAUUUCAUCGUUACGAGUUGAGGAUCCAAGAAAAACAAGAAAAGACUAGGAUGGCUUAGAAACCCAUCAACUAUUUA